GAGUUUGAUCAUGGCUCAGGAUGAACGCUAGCGACAGGCCUAACACAUGCAAGUCGAGGGGUAAGGUCAAGCUUGCUUGACACACGACCGGCGCACGGGUGAGUAACGCGUAUGCAACCUAUCUUUUACCGGGGGAUAGCCCGAAGAAAUUCGGAUUAAUACCCCAUGUGUUCCUUUUCUCACCUGAGAGAGGAAAGAAAACUCCGGUGGUAAAAGCUGGGCAUGCGUGACAUUAGUUAGUUGGCGGGGUAACGGCCCACCAAGACUACGAUGUCUAGGGGUUCUGAGAGGAAGGCCCCCCACACUGGUACUGAGACACGGACCAGACUCCUACGGGAGGCAGCAGUAAGGAAUAUUGGGCAAUGGACGCAAGUCUGACCCAGCCAUGCCGCGUGCAGGAUGACAGCCUUAUGGGUUGUAAACUGCUUUUAUCAGGGAAUAACCGCACGUACGCGAUACGUGUUUGAAUGUACCUGAAGAAUAAGCACCGGCUAACUCCGUGCCAGCAGCCGCGGUA
rnacentral:rRNA from 1 species